rnacentral:rRNA from 1 species
AUGAUGCUAGCUUUAUGUUUUGUGAAUUUAUUAGGCAAUCGAGGAAUUGGAAUUCUGCCAAGAAAUCUAGGAGCAGAAGAAGAUGUAUGCAAGGGACUUGGAGACGAGGCAAUGGUUUUGAAGCUUUGGGAGCCUGCGACUGGCUCGACAGGUGGCAUCAGCAAGCGCCGGCCGGCCUCGGCACUGCUGUGGGUGGUUAUAUGGUGGGUGGAGCACACCAUUGGGAUUCGACAUCAGGGAACAGAGCAGUCACAAGGAGCUGCAAUGAUAUGUGUACAUGUAACAGUUGUCCAAGCUCUGGAACUUUUUCAGAAAUCAUUGCUCAAACUGUAUGGUCAUCCAGAUGAGGAUGUUGCAAAGGCUAACUGGAAAUACAUCUUCGCAGAAACUUUACAGUCAUCCAGAUGUUGGUUUUGCAACCCCUAA